AGGCCGUGGAAAGGGAAAAGCCUUAACAAGUCCUUAAAACGCUCUCAUGCUUCAAGCAAUGAUUCUCCCUCCUCUUGCCUAAAAUUAUUUAUCUUGUUCCUAACUU